UCUCAUGAAUUAAGACAAGUCUUUUUUAAGCUGGACUACCUCCAGUCAGACUGAGAGAAACCUUCUCAAGAUUCUCUGGAUGAGCCAAAUCACAUUUGGCUCAGUCGAGAUAGAAAAGAUUACACGAGGAGAAAGUUAGGCUCAAUCGUGUGCUAGCAUGAUUUUCUUGAACCUAAUUGGAUCUAAUCCAAAUCAAUCGAAUUGGGCUAGCUUAAUUAAUGACAUCC
rnacentral:lncRNA from 1 species